UGCAUCUGUUUGCUCGGAUCUUCUACAAGA
rnacentral:piRNA from 1 species